AAUACAUGCAAGUCGAACGAGACCUUCGGGUCUAGUGGCGCACGGGUGCGUAACGCGUGGGAAUCUACCCUUGGGUUCGGAAUAACAGUUGGAAACGACUGCUAAUACCGGAUGAUGACGAAAGUCCAAAGAUUUAUCGCCCAAGGGAAUGAGCCCGCGUAGGAUUAGCUAGUUGGUGAGGUAAAGGCUCACCAAGGCUACGAUCCUUAGCUGGUCUGAGAGGAUGAUCAGCCACACUGGGACUGAGACACGGCCCAGGACUCCUACGGGAGGCAGCAGUAGGGAAUAUUGGACAAUGGGGGCAACCCUGAUCCAGCAAUGCCGCGUGAGUGAUGAAGGCCUUAGGGUUGUAAAGCUCUUUUACCCGAGAUGAUAAUGACAGUAUCGGGAGAAUAAGCUCCGGCUAACUCCGUGCCAGCAGCCGCGGUAAUACGGAGGGAGCUAGCGUUGUUCCGAAUUACUGGGCGUAAAGCGCACGUAGGCGGCGAUUUAAGUCAGAGGUGAAAGCUCGGGGCUCAACCCCGGAACUGCCUUUGAGACUGGAUUGCUAGAAUCUUGGAGAGGCGGGUGGAUUCCGAGUGUAGAGGUGAAAUUCGUACGACUCUUCGGAAGCACACCAGUGGCGAAGGCGGCCCGCUGGACCAAGUAUUGACGCUGAGGUGC
rnacentral:rRNA from 1 species